UUGGAGGGCAAGUCUGGUGCCAGCAGCCGCGGUAAUUCCAGCUCCAAUAGCGUAUAUUAAAGUUGUUGCAGUUAAAAAGCUCGUAGUUGAAUUUCAGGCCUGGCUGGACGGUCCGCCCUUCGGGUGAGUACUGUCUGUGGUCGGGUCCUACCUUCUGGCGAAGCGUCAUGGCCUUAACCGGCCGUGGCGGGGAACCAGGACUUUUACUGUGAAAAAAUUAGAGUGUUCAAAGCAGGCAAAUCGCUCGGAUACAUUAGCAUGGAAUAAUGGAAUAGGACAAUGGUUCUAUUUGUUGGUUUCUAGGACCGUUGUAAUGAUUAAUAGGGAUAGUUGGGGGCAUUAGUAUUCAAUUGUCAGAGGUGAAAUUCUUGGAUUUAUUGAAGACUAACUACUGCGAAAGCAUUUGCCAAGGAUGUUUUCAUUAAUCAAGAACGAAAGUUAGGGGAUCGAAGACGAUCAGAUACCGUCGUAGUCUUAACCAUAAACUAUGCCGACUAGGAAUCGGGCGAUGUUGAAAAAAUGACGCGCUCGGCACCCUAUGGGAAACCAAAG
rnacentral:rRNA from 1 species